ensembl:misc_RNA Vault Vault RNA
GGCCGUAGCUCAGCAGUUCCUUCAACUACAAACCAAUUAAAUAACCCUCUCCAGGGUUUGAGACCUGCAGGCACUCUCC